CAGGACUGAGAACACAAAUCAGAAUGAAAUUCAGAGACAAAACAGUUCUCCUCUCCAAGAUGAUGCUUGUUUCUAUGAAUCAAUCAAAGACUGCGACGACACACAAAAUGAUGAAUCUGGGGAUUUCACAUAUUCUUUGAUUGAGUUAAAAAACUUCACAAUGAAAG